rnacentral:rRNA from 1 species
GACGAACGCUGGCGGCGUGCUUAACACAUGCAAGUCGAGCGGUAAGGCCCUUUCGGGGGUACACGAGCGGCGAACGGGUGAGUAACACGUGGGUGACCUGCCCUCAGCUCUGGGAUAAGCCUGGGAAACCGGGUCUAAUACUGGAUAUGACUCCAUGACGCAUGUUGUGGGGUGGAAAGCCUUGUGCGGCUGAGGAUGGGCCCGCGGCCUAUCAGCUUGUUGGUGGGGUGAGGCCUACCAAGGCGACGACGGGUAGCCGGCCUGAGAGGGCGACCGGCCACACUGGGACUGAGACACGGCCCAGACUCCUACGGGAGGCAGCAGUGGGGAAUCUUGCGCAAUGGGCGAAAGCCUGACGCAGCGACGCCGCGUGAGGGAUGACGGCCUGGUGUAACGUAC